UGCCCACAAGGAGAGGAAUCCAGAGGAACACGGCUGCCAUGGCUGCCCCAGCCUGGCCCAGGCCCUAUGCAGGUGCCGCCCCUUCACCCCUCAGCCUGGGAAACAUCAGGGCAAGGACAUCUGGGACCCUCCCAGUCAGGCUUGAGGAUCCGAGGGUGUGGACCUGCAGCUGGGAAGUGGCUUUGUCCUCGUUCCUUCUUCUCUCCCCCUGACCACCCCACUGUCCCCGGAGGGCCACCAAAUGCCACAGUCAGCAUCUACUCUGGCUCCCAGCUGUCACAGGCAGCAGUGCCUGCGCCCCGAGUCACCGGGCCCACGGAGGCCAGCGAUCCUUAGAAGAGCUGCAGUCACCUCUCUUCUGAUCCUCCCCCGAAGGCCCAGGGACCGUCCCCAGGGCCAGCUGGAGCCCGAGCCCCAGGUGACCGACCACAGCUGACCAGAAGGGUCGCAACCUACUGCUGAACAUGAACA